rnacentral:rRNA from 1 species
UACGGAGGAUGCGAGCGUUAUCCGGAUUUAUUGGGUUUAAAGGGUGCGUAGGCGGCCUGCCAAGUCAGCGGUAAAGUUGCGGGGCUCAACCCCGUACAGCCGUUGAAACUGCCGGGCUCGAGUGGGCGAGAAGUAUGCGGAAUGCGUGGUGUAGCGGUGAAAUGCAUAGAUAUCACGCAGAACCCCGAUUGCGAAGGCAGCAUACCGGCGCCCGACUGACGCUGAGGCACGAAAGUGCGGGGAUCAAAUAGG